rnacentral:rRNA from 1 species
CAGUCGCCGCGGUAAUACCGAGGGUGCAAGCGUUAAUCGGAAUUACUGGGCGUAAAGCGCGCGUAGGUGGUUUGUUAAGUUGGAUGUGAAAUCCCCGGGCUCAACCUGGGAACUGCAUCCGAAACUGGCAGGCUAGAGUAGGGCAGAGGGUGGUGGAAUUUCCUGUGUAGCGGUGAAAUGCGUAGAUAUAGGAAGGAACACCAGUGGCGAAGGCGACCACCUGGGCUCAUACUGACACUGAGGUGCGAAAGCGUGGGGAGCAAACAGGAUUAGAUACCCCUGUAGUCCCUGUCUCUUAUAC